UACAGAGGGUGCGAGCGUUAAUCGGAAUUACUGGGCGUAAAGCGCGCGUAGGCGGCUUUGCAAGUCGGGUGUGAAAUCCCCAGGCUUAACCUGGGAACUGCAUUCGAGACUGCAUUGCUAGAGUAUGGGAGAGGGAAGUGGAAUUUCCGGUGUAGCGGUGAAAUGCGUAGAUAUCGGGAAGAACACCAGUGGCGAAGGCGACUUACUGGACACAUAUUGACGCUGAGGUGCGAAAGCGUGGGGAGCAAACAGG
rnacentral:rRNA from 1 species